rnacentral:tRNA from 1 species
CUUAGCUUAGUUGGUAGAGCGCCUGCUUUGCACGCAGGAGGUCAGGAGUUCGACUCUCCUAGUCUCCACCA